AGAAAGCUACAGCUUUGUCAGUGGCCAAGUAAAUGUUUAAUGAUGAGAAAUGUGUAGACAUUGAAUUAUUUUUUUAAUUUUAUUUUUAAAAUGUGUAAAAAUUACUGGACCUAUGUUCAACUCACUCAAAACAAUAUGAGAAUUGGUGAACCAACUAUAUAAAGAAUCAACCUCAAAAUUAAGCUGUUAAAAAUAGCACAUAUACCCUCUCCACACAGCCACCAGUCAAAAGCUUGAGUAAGCAAAUGAGCUUUACAAAGUGCUCUGAGAGGUGUCAACAUGCUCAGGCUCUGUUGGAUUAACAGGGUAGACAGCUUCCACAAGUACUCCUGUUCUUCUUUUUUCCAGAGAUGAGGGCGCUCCACUGAAAACUAUGUGCCCCAAAUAUUCAAAUCUUGGGGCCAUUAGUGAUAGUGACUCAUCUGAGCAAAUCUAUGACAAUGGAGCUUGGGCAGAAAGGACCUACACCACACAGGAAAUUAAAAAUCAAGAUCAGUCAUUUGGAUGGCAGCCAAAAGCCCCGACAAACUCUAUGUUUGGUGAAAAAGAGGACCCGGGAUGCAACCUGGAUGGUGGACAGCGUUUCAGCGUAAUUCCCUGCCGCUGCCGAAAUGUGAGCUAUCAUAGUGGUACGGCAGUUCAUGUUCCCCAGGGACUCCCGAAGCAACAUGGUGAGCUUGCUGUCUCUGCAAAAUAAAAUGAAUUAAGGCUA